GACGAACGCUGGCGGCGUGCCUAAUACAUGCAAGUAGGACGCAGUUACGAACGGGUGAGUAACGCGUAGGUAACUGCCUAGAAGAGGGGGAUAACUAUUGGAAACGAUAGCUAAUACCGCAUAGUAGGAGAUGGACCUGCGUUGUAUUAGCUAGUAGGUAGGGGAAUGGCAGACCUAGGAGACGAUACAUAGCCGACCUGGUAGGCAGAUCUGCCCACCUGGAACUGAGACACGUCCCAGACUCCUACGGGAGGCAGCCGUAGGGAAUCUUCGGAUAUGGGGGGAACCCUGACCGAGCAACUCCGCGUGAGGGAAGAAGGUUUUCGGAUCGUAAAGCUCUUUUGUUAAGGAAGCGGUACUUAACCAGAAAGGGACGGCUAACUACGUGCCAGCAGCCGCGGUAAUUC
rnacentral:rRNA from 1 species